CAAUAGCGUAUAUUAAAGUUGUUGCAGUUAAAAAGCUCGUAGUUGGAUUUCUGGUUGAAGCGACCGGUCGGGCGUUGAUUCGUCUGCACUGGAAUCGGUUUUGGCCAUCCUCUAGGAAAGUGCGUCUGGUAUUAAGUUAUCGGGCGUAUGAUCCUGGUCUUUUACUGUGAAAAAAUUAGAGUGUUUAAAGCAGGCCUUCGCCUUGAAUACAUUAGCAUGGAAUAAUAAGAUAGGACUUUGGUCUAUUUUGUUGGUUUGCAGACCGAAGUAAUGAUUAAUAGGGAUAGUUGGGGGUAUUUAUAUUCCGAUGUCAGAGGUGAAAUUCUUAGAUUUUCGGAAGAUAAACUUAUGCGAAAGCAUUUACCAAGGAUGUUUUCAUUAA
rnacentral:rRNA from 1 species